rnacentral:rRNA from 1 species
AACGUAGGUUCCGAGCGUUAUCCGGAUUUACUGGGCGUAAAGCGCGUUCAGGCGGUUUGGCAAGUCGGGCAUGAAAUCUCUCGGCUCAACCGGGAGAGGUUGUCCGAUACUGCUGGACUUGAGGGCAGUAGAGGGUGGUGGAAUUCCGGGUGUAGUGGUGAAAUUCGUAGAUAUUGGGAGGAACACCGGUGGCGAAGGCGACCACCUGGACGAAGACUGACGCUGAGGCGCGAAAGCGUGGGGAGCAAACAGG